rnacentral:rRNA from 1 species
UAGGGAAUCUUCGGCAAUGGACGAAAGUCUGACCGAGCAACGCCGCGUGAGUGAAGAAGGUUUUCGGAUCGUAAAACUCUGUUGUUAGAGAAGAACAAGGACGUUAGUAACUGAACGUCCCCUGACGGUAUCUAACCAGAAAGCCACGGCUAACUACGUGCCAGCAGCCGCGGUAAUACGUAGGUGGCAAGCGUUGUCCGGAUUUAUUGGGCGUAAAGCGAGCGCAGGCGGUUUCUUAAGUCUGAUGUGAAAGCCCCCGGCUCAACCGGGGAGGGUCAUUGGAAACUGGGAGACUUGAGUGCAGAAGAGGAAAGUGGAAUUCCAUGUGUAGCGGUAAAAUGCGUAGAUAUAUGGAGGAACACCAGUGGCGAAGGCGGCUCUCUGGUCUGUAACUGACGCUGAGGCUCGAAAGCGUGGGGAGCAAACAGG